rnacentral:lncRNA from 1 species
AUACCCCUAAAAAGUUUUCGGUUUUCUUUUUUACCCCUCUUAGAAGGCUAAUGUUGAAAAUACUCUUCUUAUGUUCCAAGUUCUUCCUAAUAUACCCCUGGAGUUAAAUUCCGUUAGUAAGGUGUUACAGUUGCCGUCAUCUCUAAAAAAUUAUCAUUUUGCCAUUCCAAUAUACCUUUGUACCGUAACUAACUUUUCUUAUAUACCCUUCAUAUAGUAAAUACUUUUCUUAUUUACCCUUCAAAUAUCAAUUAAUUAAUUAAGCACGUCGGGA